ensembl:lncRNA
GUUUCUUGAAGUUACCUCAUGUGGAAAUGUCUUUUAUGUAACGUAAGCUGCCUCUCAAGGAAAGUGUGGACAUUGCUACGGCUUAGCCUGCUACCUGAGCUUGGUGUGGGAUACACAGAAUGAGCUGAGCAGGAACCCCUAGUCCCUGAGCUGCUCAUUGACACCCUGUCUGUUGCUGGCAUCCUGGGGAGGGGAGCUGAUCGUGAUGGCUCACCUAUAAAGCCUCCAGUCUUUGCAGAGAGCUUGCUUUUCUUUCUGCUCUUAGACACAUUGUGGGGUUAGUGCUAGUGCAUGCUGACUGCAGAAUAUGGCAGAAAUCUCACAGUGGAGGCCCUGAGGGAGGAGAGAGUGGUUCAUGCCCUGGGCAAGUGGGGAGCUCAGCUGUCCUAGGAAGCUGUCUGGAGGAGGGCAUUAGCCAUGUCUUGAUCCCCAGCCUUGAGCCACUCAGUAAGAGAGGUGUAAAUUUGACAGGAAGACUGGAUCACUUUGUCUUGAUCUCUGAGAUGGUAAUAUUAACAGUUCAGUUAAAACUUGUUUAUUAUUUUGGUCACAGAAGCUUUGGGAAAUCCAUGUCAGAUGAAUCUUUAGGGGUUCCUUGUUGUCUUUUAGGUAAAUUGUGGUUAGCUGCUUAGACUCUAUUUCUUGUGAAGAUUGAAAUGUACAAGAAGUUACCUCUUCUCUGUGGAAUGCUGCAGUUUUAUUUAAUGGGAAAACUAUUCUCUUACUCCUUCCCUUCUGGGAAGAAAAUGUCCCCUGAGCAAUUGAUGCUUAUGAAAUAAAGCCUUGAAUUUUUGAUUCGGGAAUAGCUUUCAUUGUCCAAAUGACUGCUGGAUAGCCCUGAAUGUUCAUUAUUUUUAUAUAAUAAACAUUUUGCACAUAGGAAAACUCAGUGAGUUUGAUUAUUCUCAGAUGAAGUUUAGACCAGAAAUCACACAGACAGAUGAUAAAGCCAGGGAUCUAAAACGAUCAAUAAACACGAAGAGACCACCAACCAACAAGAAAGGUCUCAGAGCUUAAACCAGAGCCUAGAACACACAGGAAGGUCCCGGAGCUUAAACCAGAGCCUAGAACACACAGGAAGGUCCUGGAGCUUAAACCAGAGCCUAGAACACACAGGAAGGUCCCGGAGCUUAAACCAGAGCCUAGAACACACAGGAAGGUCCCAGGGCUUAAACCAGAGCCUAGAACACACAGGAAGGUCCCGGAGCUUAAACCAGAGCCUAGAACACACAGGAAGGUCCCGGAGCUUAAACCAGAGCCUAGAACACACAGGAAGGUCCCAGGGCUUAAACCAGAGCCUAGAAC